rnacentral:rRNA from 1 species
UUUAAUAGUCGAACAGACUAGCUUACGUAGCUACUACACUAGGAAGCGCCUUUAAUUCAACAUCGAGGUCACAAGAUCUUUUAUCAAUUAGGGCUCUCUAAAAGCAUUGUGCUGUUAUCCCUGAGGUAACUGCUCUUAAACUUGAUUAAGAUCCCAAACCCCUAUGUACAUCAGUGUAUACACUAGAUCAUUUAAUUUACCGCCCCAGUGUAAUGUAUGCAGCAGCAAAGCAUUAUAAUUGUUUGAGCCUAAGCUACGUCUUAAUUAGCUCUGCAGGGUCUUAUCUUCCCAUUGGUGAGGCUUGAAGUUUUAAUCAAACCCUUAAAUUAUAGUCCCACAGACUUACAAGUCGUCUUUCAUGAGCCCCUUCAUUCUAGACCCCAAUUAAAAGCCAAGUUAUUAUGCUACCUUUGCACAGUUAGGG